UUCAGAUUUGGCUGUUGCGAAAAUGAGACCAUUUCCGCUUCAGGACCUAACAAGCAAGGAUGUCCUGAAACAGAAGUAACAACGACAGAAGGUACUACAGAGUAUUCAGAGAGUUCCACCACAUCGACAGAAACCCUUACAACAGACAGUUCGACAAGCUUCACAGACCUAGAAGCCGAGACUACAACAGUGGUCUACACCGAAAGUACAACAGGUAUUUAAAAAUAUUUUUAUGUAU